rnacentral:tRNA from 1 species
GCCGGGAUCGCCUAGCCUGGAAUGGCGCGCGCCUGGAAAGCGCGUAUUCUGUUGAAUACGAGAGUUCAAAUCUCUCUCCCGGCG